GUAAGGCUGUCUGUUGACAAAAUCCCUUUUUAUAUCAGGAUUCCUUUAUUACUCAGGUGUUAUCUGGGGAUAAAACAACCAAAAGUGGGUCAGCUGUGUUGUCAUCAGAGCACUUGAAGCGCAAAGCUUGCCAUUAGUGUCAGUGUUUCAUGAGGCAAAGAAUGCCUUAGAAAGAGAGGAAGGGAUUUGGGAGAAGCACUUAAAUUUGGCAAGAACCAAACAAUUAGCACUACAGAUGAGGAUUGUGAAGCCCAGGAGACCUUGCUGAGCUGCUGUGCCAGCAUUACAUGAUCGGGGAGCGUAUCUGAAGGUGGUUUUCAGCAAUCUCUCUUAGUUCCCACACAAUGGUAUUUUCAGCGUCUUAUUAAGCACAGCAGGAAACUUAAAUGCUUAAACGUCCUUGAAUGUUUUUGUCUUGUGUUUGGCAACCAUUUUCCUUUGC
ensembl:lncRNA